ensembl:lncRNA
CGUCAACACACGCCGCACAACAGCAGCGUGACGCUCAGGGAUCCCCGCUGUCCCUUCGUGGGCUCCCGCCUGCGUGAGGACAGGGAGGACCCGGAGCGGGGAAUAGCGUCGGGGACCCGGGACUGUGAAUGGACCAGGAUCCCUGACGGAUGGGGAGAUGGGCCCCGCAGUCACAGAAGGGUCCCCCAAAUCCUUGAUGGAUGGGGGUAACGGGUCCGGCGAGCUCAGGGUGGUGUUCCCUGGACUCAUGAUGGAUGGAGAGACUCAGCGACUCAUUUCCUUGGGACCCACCAAGCCCUGAUCUACUGCUAGGUCCACCACUCUGCUCGCAUGAUGAUACCAAGAAGUGUUAAGUUUUUGAGAGGCUCCGUCUCAAGGAAGCCCUUCAGGGAGGGGAAACUGAGAUUCCGAACGUGCUGGGAGAGGCUUGAGGUCUGACAGCUGUCCACAGGCUUGGUGCCUUUUCUGACUCAUUGGAUGACUCGCAGGGAGGAUGGGAGCCAGGUGUAUAUUGGACCCACUGCGUGUGUUCUUCAAGCCCAGCUCAGCACACAGUGGGUGCUCAAUAAAUGUUCGCCAGAGGGAUGAGCAAGCAGAUGAUCGGCUACAUCUCUUGCAGCCAUGGGAACGUCUGCGGCUGCGGCCCUGGUGUGGAAACAAACACGACGUGAUGGCCACCCACCGAGGACCUCCCGGGGCAGCGUGAGACUCUCCAGCAGAGCAUCCAGGGACGGGAACCCACACAGCGCUCCUCCAGGGGGUGGGAGGAACAUGCGCUUCAGUUACCACGUAGCUGUGUUACCUCGGGCGCAUCAUGUAACCUCUCCGAGCCUCAGUUUCAUGGAGCAUGAGAAUACCUUGUCACGUGUUAAUGAAGAUAAGAGACGCCCCAUGUAAAAAAACUUUUCCUAGAAGAGGCCCUCUGUUCCUGGAAGCUAUUUUUAUUUGAAUAAAUCAAGGGCUGGUACAUCCUCGCUUGUAGCUGUCUACAAAUAUGUGUGUGUGUGUGUGUGUGUGUGUGUGUGUGUGUGUGUGUAUGAAGAUGUCAUGAAUAUUGUUCUUUUUUCAAAAAAAUUAUUUUGUUCAAGUAUAGCUGAUUAACAAUGCUG